rnacentral:sRNA from 1 species
UUUUAGCCCCGAUAGCAGCGAAAAUCCUUUUUUUUUUCUUUAAAAACAAAAAGAUUACUUCACUUUAUGUCUAUUUUCAUAGGAAUUCAGUGAACUUCGUUUGCAGCGGAUAGCGGGAUUAGCU